rnacentral:rRNA from 1 species
GGAAUCUUCCACAAUGGGCGAAAGCCUGAUGGAGCAACGCCGCGUGUGUGAUGAAGGGUUUCGGCUCGUAAAACACUGUUGUAAGAGAAGAAUGACAUUGAGAGUAACUGUUCAAUGUGUGACGGUAUCUUACCAGAAAGGAACGGCUAAAUACGUGCAAG